rnacentral:rRNA from 1 species
CAGGGAAUCUUCCACAAUGGACGAAAGUCUGAUGGAGCAACGCCGCGUGAGUGAAGAAGGUUUUCGGAUCGUAAAGCUCUGUUGUUGGUGAAGAAGGAUAGAGGCAGUAACUGGUCUUUAUUUGACGGUAAUCAACCAGAAAGUCACGGCUAACUACGUGCCAC